UACGUAGGGUGCGAGCGUUGUCCGGAAUUAUUGGGCGUAAAGGGCUCGUAGGCGGUCUGUCACGUCGGGAGUGAAAACUCGGGGCUUAACCCCGAGCCUGCUUCCGAUACGGGCAGACUAGAGGUAUGCAGGGGGAGAACGGAAUUCCUGGUGUAGCGGUGAAAUGCGCAGAUAUCAGGAGGAACACCGGUGGCGAAGGCGGGUCUCUGGGCCGAUACUGACGCUGAGGAGCGAAAGCGUGGGGAGCGAACAGG
rnacentral:rRNA from 1 species